AUUCUUGCGCUUGGGACAAUGACGCAGCUAGUGAGGUACUAACCGAUGCGCGUCUAUUGUUGGUUGAAAACUAUUUCCAAACCCCCUCUUUGGCUUGGGCUUUGUCUAAGCCGUAGAGAAUUUCUAGAAGGGCUCCCUAAAGGGUAAAGUGUAAGAGCC
rnacentral:snRNA from 1 species